GGAAUAUUGCGCAAUGGAGGAAACUCUGACGCAGUGACGCCGCGUAUAGGACGAAGGUUUUCGGAUUGUAAACUAUUGUCGUUAGGGAAGAUAAAAGACAGUACCUAAGGAGGAAGCCCCGGCUAACUAUGUGCCAGCAGCCGCGGUAAUACAUAGGGGGCGAGCGUUAUCCGGAAUUAUUGGGUGUAAAGGGUGCGUAGACGGGAAGGCAAGUUAGUUGUGAAAUCCCUCGGCUUAACUGAGGAACUGCAACUAAAACUAUCUUUCUUGAGUGCGGGAGAGGAAAGUGGAAUUCCUAGUGUAGCGGUGAAAUGCGUAGAUAUUAGGAGGAACACCAGUGGCGAAGGCGACUUUCUGGACCGUAACUGACGUUGAGGCACGAAAGUGUGGGGAGCAAACA
rnacentral:rRNA from 1 species